GGGGUCCAGCUGCACUGUGCUUGCUCUGUCCCCAGCCGCCACCACCAAGACCUCAUCAGCUAUGACAAGCUGUUCUCCAACAUCUACAAGAUACGGGAGAUCAUGGACGGGCUGUGCCUGGAGGUGGAGGGCAAGAUGGUCAGUAGGACAGAGGGUAACGUUGAUGACUCGCUCAUUGGUGGAAAUUCUUCCGCUGAAGGCCCAGAGGGCAAAGGUACUGAAAACACAGUAGUUACCGGUGUGGCAAUUGACAUGAACAACUACUUACAAGAAACCAGCUUCACAAAAGAGGCCUGCAAAAAGUACUUCAAAGAUGACAUGAAAUCACUCAAAGGCAAACUUGAAGAGCAGAAACCAGAAAGAGUGUAAAGCCUUUUAUCACUGGGACUGCAGAGCAGAUUAAGCACAUCCUUGCUAAUUUCAAUAACUACCAGUUUUUUAUUGGUGAAAACAUGAAUCCAGAUGGCGUGGUUGCUCUCCUGGACUACUGUAAAGAUGGUGUGACUCCAUACACGAUUUUCUGUAAGGAUGGCUUAGAAAUAGAAAAAUGUUAACAAAUUGGAUCUGUC